CGUGCUUGCGCUCGGGCUGCUCCGGCGGAUCCUACCUGUGGGGCCCACUGCGCCUGCUCUCAGACUGCGGCGACCCGUGGCCGCUAGGGUCAGGCCCCGGGGACAGCCAGUCCCACACGACGCGUGGACUGUGUUCCAAGGAAGUGUUUGAAACUCGGUUUAGCACCCAGAUCCCUUUCCCCGUGGAAACAGUGUAGUAAGUGGAAGUCAAGUCAACGGGCUGCCCCCCCCGCCCCCCCCCCAGUCUGCUGAGCGCACGCGGCGCCGAGGCCGGCCCGCGGUCCCCACCGGCGCCCGGUGCCCCCUGCUCCGCACGCAGCCGCGGCGGUGACCUCCCUGCGGCGACCCGUGUCGGCCUAGGACGCGGUGCCGCACGCCCGCCUCGACCCCCGGCCCCGUGUCACAGCACGUCUGCAUCCUGUCCUGCGGGCACGGCCUCCCCCUCUGCUUUCCCGCGUGUCCACUGCGGCCCGUGGCGGGACCCGCUCCGGCCGGCGCUCUGCUCCGGGCCCUGGGCUCCACCGGCCCUGCCGGUGCUUGGAGCCCCUGAGAACCCCCGGUCAGCUGAGGGUCCAGCCCCAGCAGCCGAAGCACCGAGCCCAGCUCCUCUGUGCCGUCCCCACGGCCCACCCUGCACGGCCUUGAGUCCGCGGGCCAUGAAGACGGCAGAUGCCCGGCCCGUGCUCCCAGAGUCCCCCUGGACCGAAACAGCUGCCUGAUCAGAGAGCGCUCUCUUCGCCUAAGUGCGUCUAGGAUGCCGUCCAUGCAGGGACCAGGGCGUACUCACGGUUCCUGAGCGGGGCCUGGACGCCCCUGAAGGUGUGAUCUGAGGAUGUGUCAGUCGAGAACUCAGAAGAGUGGAGGGAAAGCUAUUUGUCCUUUUCCACAAGGUGGAGAGGAGGCACCUGCUCCCCUGUCUGUGCUCAUCUCAUGGGGCGGAAGUGAGCCUUGACCAGAGCCUCUGCCUGGGGCCGCGUGCGCCUCUUCUCCUGGCUGAGGGACAUGGCUUCCUAUCGAAUGUGAUUUCAGGACUGGGAACCUACCUGAGGUUGCUGGAAGACCCGGUUCCCCCACCUGCUGGCUACCUCGGGGCGGGAGCCCCAGAGAAAAUGUGUACCAGCCUCUAGUGUACAGUAUUUGUUCCCAAAGUGUGUUCCGUGGAACCAUCUCCUCAGCUACUCUGCAUCCGAAAAGGCUUCCAUGGUGAGGUGAGUCCGGCAGAGUCUGUCUGCCACAGUUCACGUUUUCAAGGACCUGAGGAGUCCUGCAGUGAGCAGCCAGUUUCCAAGGUGUAUUUGACUUCAGCACAGUCUCCACUCCCUUUACGCCUGCGACCCACUAUUGGGCCAAGAGAAACUCCCGCAGGAGCUUCCAGGCGGGACCUUUGUCAGGUGGGAGUGUUUUCCAGCAAGGUUGCAGCCUGUCCUCGGGCUGGAUGUGCUGCUGCAGUCCCCAUAACCCUGCGAAGGCGUGUGGAGAUGGUCUUGUCCGGUCACCUCCCAUUCCGGAUCAGGAGCUGGGGGUGGGUCAUGGCCCCUCACUUGCCAUCUCUCCUGCUGGUGGAGCUCCCGUCCAGUGGUUUUGCUUCCUCCAGACAUUGGCCCAGAUGUUACCUUCCCUCUGGGGGCUUCCUGGCUACCCAGACAGGAACUCGAGCCUGUCUUCUGUCUUCCCAGCACUGUCCAGCCACGUCUGAGCUGCUUCUGUCCGCAGCGCUAUAGGCUAACACGCCCCACGCUGUCGGCCUCAUCAGGACACCAGCCUUCUGGGGGCUUGUGGGCCGAUGGCCCGGGCGAGUGCGAGGCCUGUCCGCGCUGCAUCUAGUAGGGAUAUUGUGCUGGUCGCCUCUGUGCUCUGGCGGGAAAGCAGGUAAGAAUGGGUGUCCUGGGUGUUCGGGGGCAGACCCCGAGGCUGGCACUGAGCAGGGGCUGUAGUUCGCGCUGGCGUCAGCUGGAGCCCAGCGACAGACACGGAGCUUGGGUGCAUUUUAUCAUCGUUGUACGAUCCAGAGGCCCAGGGUGACAGGGCAAGGCCCCAGCCUCCAGGGACCUGAGCCCCUCUGACCCCGCUGCAGCGGCGUCCCGAGAGCACGGUUCCUGCCCCAGCCUCUGCUGGCCGCGGGGGUCCCAGGCCGUACCUCUCUGUUGCCAGCGGGGGGACAGGGCAGUCUUCCCUGAAGUCUUCUCUUUCCCCGGCCUCUCUCUCCCUGGCUCGGAAUCGUCGUGUCUGCGAUGGGCCCGCCCAGUGAAAACUUCCAGGAGCAUGCAUUUCAGGCAGGUCACUAGCCGUGUCUGACACAGGGACUGUGUGACUCUGGGCUGAUAACAGAGGUGAUCUGGACAAGUCCACUGGUCCCUGAGGGUCGUGGUGACAAAGCGUCCAGGGCAGAAUGGCUCACCACCAGGAACCGCUCUGUCUGUCACCCAGAAAGGCAGCGUGAGCACGGCGUGUGUCCCUGUGCUGGGGCCGUGAGCGAGACACCCCACGCUCUCUCCCAGCAUCUGAGGGGCACUGCUCAGGGGAGGGGGAACAUUCCCUCCAGCCUCGGGGGCCCCGGCUGGAUGUGUGACAGACGGGAGCGAAGGGAAGCUGCUAAAGGUGCGGAGUGUAAGUUGUGUGGGACAUGGGAGUCUUUGUGGGGAAGUGAAGGCCCAAGGACGCUGUUAGACGCGUCUGAUGAGGCAGAGAGAUAGCAGAGGCCAGGGGUGAGCUACGGGGUGCUCAGCGAGGCCUGGUGGCCCUCUAUCCUGGGAGAUGAGGCACCUCCUUCCCCCCAGUCUGGCGAGGGCUCCUCUCCCAGCACAGCCCUGUGAGCUGCUGUGCAGGAAGCGGGUGCACUGGACACAUGGGCUCUGUGACCUUCCUGCCCCUGCUAUUGCAGCCCCUUCUCCUUCUAAGGUGCGCUCUGCCCGGGGACCACGGGGCUCGCUGUCCCAGGCUGGCAGGCCCAUCGCGGCUGUCUGCCUUGUCUCUGCGUCCCUGCAUUGAGGGCCCGCUGCAGUCCUUGCCUUCCUUACCCUGCGGGAGCCCCGUGUCCACAGUGGCUCAUAGUCCAAGGUUUGCCGCGCUGCGUUGGGUUCCUGUGACAGGAAGGAUCUCGGGCUUGGGGAGCCAGCACAGCCUGUGCUGCCGGAACACAGAUCGUUGUGCCCAGAGGCGAGUGUGAGGCUCUGUACACACUGUAGGACUCUUGCCAGAAGUUUGGGUAUGGAAAGGGAGUUCUUUUUCUGCCUUCUUUAUGCUUGUUUUUAGGUAAUGUCACAGUCACUAAGUGUCACACGGUCAGUGACACUUAGUUCCGGCACAGGCGGAGCCUCAGGGUUAAACCAGGGAGCACUAGUCUUGGACUUGAGAACUCGUGCACCUGUCUGUGCCUUAGGAGGGGGUGUUGGAAAAUCAGCGCAGGUGUCCAUGACGGGCAGGGGCCUUGGGGUCAGACGCCGGGCUGGGAGCCGCCCACACCCGGCCCUGCUGUGGGAUGGCCCCAAAGCCAGGCUGGCCGGUCGGAGGAGCAGCCCCCCCCUCCCCCCCAGCUGUCCGAUCCUCCCUUAGAGAACGUGAAAUUGGAACCACUGAAGCGGCAAGGGGGUCACUGGAGCUGAGCCUUGUUCGCAGCUUUGGUCCUGCCUGCUGCCCGCUGUCCUGCGUGCCUUGCCGUGGUUUGUUGCGCAAAUGCAGC